UCGAGAAUUUUUCACAAUGGGCGAAAGCAUGAUGGAGCGACGCCGCGUGGGGGAUGAAUGGCUUCGGCCCGUAAACCCCUGUCAUUCGCGAGCAAACGUUAUUAUUUAAAAGAUGAUAGCCUGAUAGUAGCGAAAGAGGAAGGGACGGCUAACUCUGUGCCAGCAGCCGCGGUAAUACAGAGGUCCCAAGCGUUGUUCGGAUUUACUGGGCGUAAAGGGUGCGUAGGUGGUGGGGUAAGUCGGAUGUGAAAUCUCCGAGCUCAACUCGGAAAGUGCAUUGGAAACUACCCUGCUCGAGGGUUGGAGGGGGGACUGGAAUACUUGGUGUAGCAGUGAAAUGCGUAGAUAUCAAGUGGAACACCAGUGGCGAAGGCGAGUCCCUGGACAACUCCUGACACUGAUGCACGAAAGCUAUGGGAGCAAACAG
rnacentral:rRNA from 1 species